UAAGACAUGGUCCUUGUCUUGAAGAAGCUC
rnacentral:piRNA from 3 species